rnacentral:rRNA from 1 species
AUUGAACGCUGGCGGCAUGCUUUACACAUGCAAGUCGAACGGCAGCACGGGCUUCGGCCUGGUGGCGAGUGGCGAACGGGUGAGUAAUGCAUCGGAACGUACCGUGUAAUGGGGGAUAACGUAGCGAAAGUUACGCUAAUACCGCAUACGCCCUGAGGGGGAAAGUGGGGGACCGCAAGGCCUCACGUUAUACGAGCGGCCGAUGUCGGAUUAGCUAGUUGGUGGGGUAAAGGCCUACCAAGGCGACGAUCCGUAGCGGGUCUGAGAGGAUGAUCCGCCACACUGGGACUGAGACACGGCCCAGACUCCUACGGGAGGCAGCAGUGGGGAAUUUUGGACAAUGGGCGCAAGCCUGAUCCAGCCAUGCCGCGUGAGUGAAGAAGGCCUUCGGGUUGUAAACGUUCUUUACUUACGCGAAUAGAGGUUAGUACGAGAUACUAAUAGGAAGGUAGUGUAGUAAAAGACACCGGCUAACUCCGUGCCAGCAGCCGCGGUAAGCUACGUAGA